CCUACGGGUGGCAGCAGUGGGGAAUAUUGGGCAAUGGGCGCAAGCCUGACCCAGCAACGCCGCGUGAAGGAAGAAGGCUUUCGGGUUGUAAACUUCUUUUCUGAGGGACGAAGAAAGUGACGGUACCCCAGGAAUAAGCCACGGCUAACUACGUGCCAGCAGCCGCGGUAAUACGUAGGUGGCAAUCGUUAUCCGGAUUUAGUGGGUGUAAAGGGCGGGUAGGCGGGAAAGCAAGCCAGAUGUGAAAACUCAGGGCUCAACCCUGAGACUGCAUUUGAAACUGUUUUUCUUGAGUGCUGGAGAGGCAAGCGGAAUUCCGUGUGUAGCGGUGAAAUGCGUAGAUAUACGGAGGAACACCAGUGGCGAAGGCGGAUUGCUGGACAGUAACUGACGCUGAGGCGCGAAAGCGUGGGGAGCAAACAGGAUUAGAUACCCGAGUAGUC
rnacentral:rRNA from 1 species